CAUUUAAAUUUUCAAAUUCAAAUUUAUAGUACACAUAAUAAUAAGUUACUUAAAAUGACUAAAAUUAAGUUUCACCUUCAUUAGUUUACUAGGGUCGUAGUCAUCCGCACGUUGCGCGGGACGAGAUUGGAAUUCGCUAAAUUACCCGUGUUAACAUUAAGUGGUCAUUUAUCACAGAUACUAACAUGUAAACCAUAAGAUAACAUUCAAACGCUUGUUAAAUCACCAACAAUAUUCGCAACCCUUAUCAUUAAAUCAAAACUAGUCCUUACACUCAACAUCUAUAUUGUAGCCAUCUCGUAUGACACCCUUUGCUACUAUUUGUGAACUUGUGUGGAAAUCUCUAACAACGCAAUCAUGGAAUAAAUAAAGGACUUGGUCAAGCUAAAGACUUGGACUUGUAGUUGGGAGAGGAACGUUGGACAUGGUUGAAGAAGUCUACAAACGGUCAUGAAGGCAUAUUUGUUGUGUCUUGGUUAUCUCGGGAUAUUUAGUUACAUUUGUGUACUUUAAAUAACGGGGGUUAUUUGAUCAAUUAGGCACAUUACACAACACAUCACCCUCUUUUCGAAAAUAGAUAACACUUUUACUUGCAACUUACUCACAUAAACACUUGCCCUUGCACUAACAAUCAUUAUAAUACUUGGUAUUGAUGAAAA